UCAAGCGUUUAAGGGCGUGUAGUGGAUGCCUUGGCACUGAAAGCCGAUGAAGGACGUGAUAUACUGCGAUAAGUUUCGGGGAGCUGUAUGUAAGCUUUGAUCCGAAAAUUUCCGAAUGGGGAAACCCACCACUUUAUGUGGUACUUUAAACUGAAUACAUAGGUUUAAAGAGACAACCUGGAGAACUGAAACAUCUAAGUAACCAGAGGAAAAGAAAUCAAUUGAGAUUCCGUUAGUAGUGGCGAGCGAACGCGGAGUAGGCCAGUAGUUUUGUUAGAAAAAUUUGAAUAGUUUGGAAAUGCUAACCAUAGAGGGUGAUAGUCCCGUAUGAGUAAUGUCUAACAAAAUUCUUGAGUAAAGCGGGACACGAGAAAUCCUGCUCGAAUAUAGGGGGACCACCCUCUAAGCCUAAAUACUCUUCAGUGACCGAUAGUGAACUAGUACCGUGAGGGAAAGGUGAAAAGAACCCCUAUUAGGGGAGUGAAAUAGAACCUGAAACUGCAUGCCUACAAUCAGUCCGAGCCCUUUUUAGGGUGAGGGCGUACCUUUUGUAUAAUGGGUCAGUGACUUAAUUUAUUAAGCAAGCUUAAGCCAUCUAGGUGUAGGCGCAGCGAAAGCAAGUCUUAAUAGGGCGAUUAGUUUAAUGAAUUAGACCCGAAAACGAAUGAGCUUACCAUGAGCAGGUUGAAAGUUGGGUAACACCAACCGGAGGACCGAACCAGUUGACGUUGAAAAGUCUUUGGAUGACUUGUGGUAAGGGGUGAAAGGCCAACCAAAUUCGUAGAUAGCUGGUUUUCCGCGAAAACUAUUUAGGUAGUGCGUCGAAUAAAUAGAUGUUUAGAGGUAGAGCACUAAAUGGGCUAGGGGGAAGAGAUUCUUACCAAACCUAAUAAAACUCCGAAUGCUAGACAUUGUUCUUCGGCAGACAGACUGUGGGUGCUAAGGUCCAUGGUCGAGAGGGAAAGAGCCCAGACCACCAGAUAAGGUCCCAAAAUCAUGAUUAAGUGUGAAAGGAUGUGGAAAUUCCUUAACAGCCGGGAGGUUGGCUUAGAAGCAGCCAUCCUUUAAAGAUAGCGUAACAGCUCACCGGUCUAAUAGAGUUUCUGCGCCGAAGAUGUAACGGGGCUAAAAUCAUGUACCGAAUCUGUGGCUUUGCAAAGUUUUCGAACUUUGUAAGGGGUAGCGGAACGUUCUGUAAGCCUGCGAAGGGAUACCCGUGAGGGAUCCUGGAGGUAUCAGAAGUGCGAAUGCUGACAUAAGUAACGAUAAACGAAGUGAAAAACUUCGUCGCCGAAAAUCUAAGGGUUUCUAUGCAAGGUUAAUCCGCGUAGAGUUAGUCGGCACCUAAGGCGAGGGCGAAAGCCGUAGUCGAUGGAAACAAGGUUAAUAUUCCUUGACCUGAUGGUAGUGACGGAUUUCGUAAGUUGUGAGUUCUUAAUGGAUUGAACUUGCCGCGAAGAGGUCCCAAGAAAUAGCUCCAUCAUGAAGACCGUACCCGAAACCGACACAGGUAGAUUAAUAGAGUAUAUUUAGGCGCUUGAGAGAAUGAUGUUGAAGGAACUCGGCAAAAUGCUUCCGUAACUUCGGGAUAAGGAAGACCCUUUUGUAGGCAACUAUGGAAGGGUGGCACAAGCCAGGGAGAAGCGACUGUUUAUCAAAAACACAGGGCUCUGCUAACACGUAAGUGGAUGUAUAGGGUCUGACGCCUGCCCGGUGCUGGAAGGUUAAUGCGGUUGGUGCAAGCUAACUUCUGAAGCCCCAGUAAACGGCGGCCGUAACUAUAACGGUCCUAAGGUAGCGAAAUUCCUUGUCGGGUAAGUUCCGACCUGCAUGAAUGGCGUAACGAUUUCUCCGCUGUCUCCAACAUCAACUCAGUGAAAUUGAAUUCUCCGUGAAGAUGCGGAGUUCCCGUGGUUAGACGGAAAGACCCCGUGCACCUUUACUACAACUUUAUAUUGGUGUUAGGAAUGAUAUGUUUAGCAUAAGAG
rnacentral:rRNA from 1 species